rnacentral:misc_RNA from 1 species
CAUGACCGAGACAUUUCCAAUAGCUCAUCAUCAGAUUUUGAUUUUUCAGUGCUUAAAACACCAAUAAGACUUCCAUCUUCCCUUAAUCGGCGAGUAAUAGCACGAGUGUCAACAUCAUAAAUUCCCAUGAUGUUUCUCUCUGUUAAAUAAUCACCAAGCGUCUGUUUACACCUCCAAUUUGAAGUGCUGAUGCUUAGGCUUCGGA